UCUUUACAAGCGCCUUUCUUACAGCCUCUUCCCCCCCCCGUUUUUCGCCGCCUCUUUGGUGGGCGCGGCCAGACUCUGGCUGACAGCGGCUGAAGGCGGGCUGUACCACUUCCCCUACACAGGGGUUAUUUGUGUCGGUUGUGGCGGCCGGGACCAAAGUGUAAAUCGGGGAUGUGAGAAAAAGACAUGACAGCCCCGGCUCCCCCAGCUCCUGCCACCGGGGCUGCCUGGGAUACGACGGCGGCAGAGCUAUGACGUCACCGACCUGCAGCUGGGAGGUAUGACACCAUCUGCGGUCCAGAACAGGCUGUCUGGUUCGCACAGGGCUCAACUCUUGGAAUUCUUUAAAAAUUAUAGCCUUGCUGACACGUGGAGAGAAUGUAAUGGUAAUUGAAUUUGCUAUGGCAUGUAAGAUCCUAAGAAUACAUAAAUGUCAUUGUGUCACGGGCAGAGGGGUUUGUGAAUAUAGUAGGACAAAACCAGAUAUAGG